UGGGCACUCGCGCAUAAUCAGUGACGUACAGGAAGGGAAACUAGGGAAGGAAGGGCAUAAAAAGUUGAAAUGGAACGCGGCUACUGGCUUCAAAAAGACUUUCAGUGAACGAUUAAAUGUAUAAAGUGAACGAGAGCGUUUUAUUCACUUAAAAGAGUUCUUUUAAACCACCAAUUCGUUCACGAAUCUAACAUCAGAAAGAGGAGACACAAGGACACAGAUAGCAUGCCGAUGAUUCACAUCACAAUUAAGCAGAAAGGACAGGAGCCUCGACCGCGACGUUGCCAUGCAGACGCUACUUUAUUCACAUGCCCCUUCUGCACAACUGACGUGUGUAAGCCAAGACAGUACCAUCAAAUAAUGACCCAUUUAGCUGGGCAUAAACUGAGAGCAGUUGAAUAUGGAGAUCAUGUUAUAUACAGCUGUAACAUUGGCUGUGGCAAAAAGGCCAGACAUUUUCACUGCUGCCAGUGUCCCAAGAUUUACAUGAAUAAAGGUGCCAUAAAAAAGCAUCUUUGUAGCGCUCAUCCAAUAGCUACUUGCAAUCCAGAACCACAACCUGUAAGUCACCCACUACAAGAACCUCCUUCACACCAACAACCAGCAUUUCAUCCACAAGAACUUGAUUUGCAGCAAGCAGCACCUUCAGCGAUUGGGAGAAAGCAGAUCUCUGUGCAGUGUCCUAGUAGGCACAUCACAAUUAAGCAGAAAGGACAGGAGCCUCGACCGCGAUGCUGCCAUGCAGACGCUACUUUAUUCACAUGCCCCUUCUGUGCAACUGACGUGUGUAAGCCAAGACAGUACCAUCAAAUAAUGACCCAUAUAGCUGGGCAUAAACUGAGAGCGGUUGAAUAUGGAGAUCAUGUUAUAUACAGCUGUAACAUUGGCUGUGAAAAAAAGGCCAGACAUUUUCACUGCUGCCAGUGUCCCAAGAUUUACAUGAAUAAAGGUGCCAUAAAAAAGCAUCUUUGCAGCGCUCAUCCAAUAGCUACUUGCAAUCCAGAACCACAACCUGUAAGUCACCCACUACAAGAACCUCCUUCACACCAACAACCAGCAUCUCAUCCACCACCAGAACCUCCUUCACACCAACAACCAGCAUCUCAUCCACCACCAGAACCUCCUUCACACCAACAACCAGCAUCUCAUCCACCACCAGAACUUCCUUCACAGCUACGACCAGCAUCUCAACCACAAGAACUUGAUUUGCAACAAGCAGCACCUGAUCGACAAGAAUUAGCAGCUUCUCCAGCGAUUGAGAAAAAGCAAAUCUCUGUUCAGGUUCCACGUAGGCACAUCACAGUUAAGCAGAAAGGGCAAGCACUUCGACCACGAUGCUGCCAUGCAGACGCUACUUUAUUCACAUGCCCCUUCUGUGCAACUGACGUGUGUAAGCCAAGACAGUACCAUCAAAUAAUGACCCAUAUAGCUGGGCAUAAACUGAGAGCGGUUGAAUAUGGAGGUG
rnacentral:lncRNA from 1 species